rnacentral:lncRNA from 12 species
CUCUUUUCAGAACUCCACAGCCCUUCGCAGAGCUUUCCUUUGGGAAUUGUUACAUAAGUGCCAUUUGAGCCUGUACAUUCCCCCCCACCCCGAGAUUUUCACAUCCAUCCAUCACAUCCACGUUUGCUAUCCUAGGCUCUCUGCGCCUUCAGCCGGCCUGCGGGCCGCACCUCGCCAGCAGAGGCCGCUCUCAGAGGCGGGGGGGUGGGGGGGUGGGGGGGUGGGGGGCCACCCUGGGGAUGCUCAGGCUUUGGAAAUCCAGGGGGUUCUCAGAGCUUAUUUUGUCCAUGGAGGCCUGGUCCCUGGUCCCCGGCUUUCCCAUCUCCAGAAAUUGGACCUCCUGUAACUCCAACCCGGUUGCACGGAGGCGCGCCUGCCGUCGACGCAUGUAGCUGGCUGGUGCGGCUCUUCAUUGAAACGGAGCACCUGCCCGGUUUUGUGCCUUUGCAUAAUGAGGACACGUAGCAUAUUCGAAGUGGAGGUGGCCUGAUUCUCUGCCCCUGGGGCUAAUGCGGCUGUUUAUACGGAGGAGCCAAGGCCGAUCCUUCACCGGAAGGUGCGCUGUCCUGCAGGCUGAAGCAUUCACACCGGCCCUGCUGCUGAUUUGAAACCAUGUUCAGAGAGUGCAAGAUUCUCAAAGAAGACAAGGCCCUAGAGGAGAGGCCGUGGGAAAUGCUUGCAGAGGCAAGAAAUUGUCCUUCCUGGGAACUGUCAAGAGAUCUCAAAGCAGGGAAACCCUCCAGACUGGUCAAUCCUGCCUUCUCAAUAAACAUAUCAAGUAGGUUUCUUGGAGUAAGACCAGGCAUUGAAAGAGAGAAAGAGAGAGAAGAUCCAAAGUCAAAACCAAUUUGAAUAGGUUGCAUGCUGUGAAUCUCCCUGACUGUUCCCGUGACAGGUGACAGCCGGGUAAGCUGCAGGAACCCCUUUAGGGGACCACCUCUCUGGUCCUGGGUGUGGGAACUCUGGUCUCAUCAGCCUCGGGUCAUCAGCUCACUGGUUGCUGGGAGGGGCUCAACAGGGCACGCCGGGUCCUGGCCUUUGUUUUCCCCUCUGGAUAAUGGGGCUGGUCUUCGUGGUGCUCAAAUGGAACCAGAGAGCCUGGAGCAGAGCCCUUAAUGAGGGCCGCUGGAUGAUGAAAGAGCCCUGAAGCUCCAGCCACCAUCCCUGCGCUUUGGAAUAAAUGCGGCCAGCUUGGGGGACGCGCA